AUGUUGGUGAAUGAGCUCCUCACCUGUUCUGGACGCUGUGUGGCCCUGGCUCCUCUGACGCGUCCUCUUCAUCCUCGCUCUCCUCGCUGGACUGAGGGGACAGCUGUGGUUUGGGAGGCCUGCUGGGCCGGCGGCAGGUCACCCUGGUGCCGAGCCUCCGGUCGGACCUGCAGCCCAUGGAGCCGAUCUGCUUCAGGCAGCAGUGAUGGAAGAAGCAGCACCUGGUGGAGGAGACGCGUCCGUGAGCAGAGCGUCCGGACGGGUCGGCGCCGCCGCCGUGCCGGCAGAACCCACCUGUCCAGCUGGUCCAGAGGCGGCCCGGCGCCGUGCUGGCCGCAGUAGCAGCCGUACAUCUCGUACUCGUGCGGACACCGUCCCGUCAGGCAGCGGAGCAUCUCCCCCAGCGCCGGCAGCUCCCGGGCCUGGCCGCCGAACAGCGUGAAGGGGCGGCGGCAUUCUGCAGGGAGCAAGCACGGGUCAGUACCGGCCCACUGAUCGUCUGAGCCCGGAGCGAGCGGUGCCGUUUUACCUUCGCUCUCCGGCUGCAGCUGGACGUCCGGCAGUCCCACAGAGUCCAGCAGAGACCAGGCGAACGACGGCAGCGACCGCCUCUGAGCCACACCUCCGUCUGGAACGGAGCGGAACACGGGUUAGCUGCAGGUUCUGCGGGCGCCCACGCUGCUGCAGGUUCUGCGGGCGCCCACGCUGCUGCAGGUUCUGCGGGCGCCCACGCUGCUGCAGGUUCUGCGGGCGCCCACGCUGCUGCAGGUUCUGCGGGCGCCCACGCUGCUGCAGGUUCUGCGGGCGCCCACGCUGCUGCAGGUUCUGGAGCCUACAGAACCUGCAGCGUUGGCUUUGAGGAAGCUACAGGACGCUCCCCCCACUCCUCCUCCAUCAGUCAACACGUUGUUGUUGUCUUUGAGCCGUGGUCUGUGCUAAUAAUGAGAACGGGUCUGACGCCUAAAGGCUCGACUUCCUCAACGCUUAACGUGAUCAUCGCUCUUUUAAUUAUGUCCUAUUUGGGGAAAUGUUGCUGAUGUCAGUCGUGGGCCUCCGUUUCUUCUGGCUGUCAUUAAGAGGUUGUGGAUUAUUUCACUAACCCUGUUAAAUAGAAUUAACUUUACUGAACCCCUGAGAGGAAGCUGCUUAAUUUAUUCAUUUCAUUUAACCUGGAACGUUAAUGAAGAGCAGGAAAGGAAUCAGCUGCUACCGUUUGGGUCCUUCUCCUGUGAGCUGUCCGUCGGUUUUCCUGUGGACGUUUCCUCCUGGGACUCGGCCUCAGCCGUGGUUCUGGACGCGCUGGUCUCUGUGGUGACUCGUCUGCCUUGUGUCGUCUGCUGAGCUGCUGUUGAAGUGGACUCUUGACCUGCAACGGCGUGGGGUCACAGCUGAUGAGUGGGGUCACGGAGGUCAACGACGCUGGGCUCAUCAGGACUGGUUGAACUGUAUAGGCAGCAGUGAGUAAUCUGACAAAUCUCCACCGUCCUAUUUUAGAAGCGCAGUUGCUAAAAUCCACCAGUAAACUGGAACAGCAGCCGCCUCAGCUGAGUGAUAUUAAAACGCUGCUCAACAUUUAACAACGUUUGCCUCGUCCUGUCAGACGCUUUGGUUCCUCUGGGACAUUCCCUUCAGAUUAUCUCCAGUCCCCUGAGGCCGAUGCUAAAAUAAGCCCUGUACUAACAUGGUGCCACUUCUGUCACUUUCUGUAACAAGAUGGCGCACGUUUAAUUAAACCUCUCACCCACAUGCUAAUGGAUGCUAAUUAUUUAAAUGUGUCGUCACCUGGCUGCAGGGAGCUGACAGCAGCAGGCGUGGGGUCCCGAGGUGCAGCGGCGGUGGUUCUGACUGGGAUGGAGGGCCUCAUUAUAGUCUCUGGGUCAAACAGACAGACACAAACAGUUGAUUUUAAGUCUCCUCUAGAAAAAGCUUCUUUGUAAAAUGUUGAGCUUUAACUGAGGUCAGGCCUAAGCUGAGUUGGUGAAACGUGUGGACAGUGUGAGUGACAGACGUCUGACCCGUCUGAGCAGCCGGUGAUGUCACGGUGCUGAGCGUCGAGCGUCCUCUCGUUGCCUCUGUGGUUGCAGUUGUUGCUGGAGGUGAUGUUACAGUUGUGAGUUGAUUCUGGCCUGAGAAGCAAUCAGAGGUGAGUUAAUGUCCUUUAAAAAAAUGGCGGCAGGCUGUGAUGGUGGUGGGCGGAGUUAGGCUGUUAUGGGAGGGGCCACGUUGGUCAGAUCUAGUUGUCUACAUUUUGCUCACCUUGUUCAUCUGAAGCCUCCUCCUCGUCUUCAGAUGAUUCUGAGGGAAUCGUAGUGUGUGAAGUGGUUGUUUUCUCAUCUUGACCGAUUCGUGGCUUUACUGUCUGAGGUCGCGUCGUCAUGACGAUGGAGCCUGCAAAGACGUCAGGUAAAUUAAUAACAGGAAAUACAAACGCCUCAGUGAAUUACGUGACCUUUGUUCAUCACCUUCCUCAGACGUCACCACGGACCAAGAGCGUGUUUCAUUCACAACCAAACCUGUAAUUACGACAGAAAAAGAAAUAAAUGUAAAAUAAACCCUGUUUCGUUUUGUCAAAUAAAAUUUGUAAAAUGCA